rnacentral:rRNA from 1 species
CUACCCUAUGGAUCGGAAUAACCUCGGGAAACUGAGGCUAAUACCGAAUACCGCUCUCAUCCUGGAACUGGAGAGAGCACCAAACGCUCCGGCGCCAUAGGAUGUGGCUGCGGCCGAUUAGGUAGACGGUGGGGUAACGGCCCACCGUGCCGAUAAUCGGUACGGGUUGUGAGAGCAAGAGCCCGGAGACGGUAUCUGAGACAAGAUACCGGGCCCUACGGGGCGCAGCAGGCGCGAAACCUUUACACUGCACGAACGUGCGAUAAGGGGACUCCAAGUGCGAGGGCAUACAGUCCUCGCUUUUCUGUACCGUAAGGUGGUACAGGAAUAAGAGCUGGGCAAGACCGGUGCCAGCCGCCGCGGUAAUACCGGCAGCUCGAGUGAUGGCCAAUAUUAUUGGGCCUAAAGCGUCCGUAGCUGGCCGAACAGGUCCGUCGGGAAAUCCGCUCGCUCAACGAGCGGACGUCCGGCGGAAACCAGUCGGCUUGGGACCGGAAGACCCGAGGGGUACGGCCGGGGUAGGAGUGAAAUCCUGUAAUCCUGGCCGGACCACCGGUGGCGAAAGCGCCUCGGGAAGACGGAUCCGACAGUGAGGGACGAAAGCUAGGGUCACGAACCGGAUUAGAUACCCGGGUAGUCCUAGCUGUAAACGAUGCUCGGCUAGGUGUGGCACUGGCUACG